CCAAGAUCUCAUCACCGCGUGAAAUAGGAGAGAGAGAGGCAAGGAACCACGAGGAGCUGCCAUCGGUGAAUUUUCUCUGUGUAGCCGUUCCAUCCUCGUGGUGUUGCUCUGGACGUCGCUGGUUCAUGUGUGGUCUCGCUGCUGACUCAUGCUCGGUGUGGGGAUCAUCAGAGCAAGUCCUUCGUCGCGGAGCCGCAGUCGGCACGGACCGCAACACCACCGCCACCUGUUCGAGGACUUCGUCGUCGGCUUUCUUCCUCCGUCGUAGUUGAUGCCUUGGCAUGGACAGGGCUCUACACUACACUAGUGAGGUCGCCUACCUUCCCCUUCUGCCUUCCACGCGCCAUAGCAGCCGAGUGCCUCAGCCCCCGCGUGUUCUUAGAUUGCCAGCGGGACCUCCACCUUAGGCUUUGUUUGGUUAUAGUGGGAUUGAAGUGGAUUGAGGUGUAUUGAAGGGGAUUGAAAAAAAAUUAGUUCAUAUUACACUCCAAUACACCACAUACCACCUCAAUCCACUUCAAUAUCAAAUUAUCCAAACAAGGCCUUAGGGAAUGGCGGCGCCGUCGUGUUCCUGUGUCUGAGAAAGAAGAUUGAGUUUGUGGUGUGGAUCAGAAAAUGGACGGGUAGGAUUGACGGAGCGAUGAGAGAAGUUGUUCGCAGUAGGAUUUUCAUUUGACGAUCAGGAUCGGAUCUAGGCAGUCUCGGGUCAGAUGGGAUCUACACCGUAGAAUUUGGAUCCCGGGGUCGACAUCGAAUACCGAUUCAAGGUGAUACUAGAUCUAAUGCUGACCAUACGAUAUGGAUCUAGCGGUUCACAUUCCAUACCGAUUCGCUUACAGCGCAACUUAAUCUGGACCGUAGAUCAGAUCCGACGGCCGAGAUCUAGAGAUACCCCUUCGCCGUGCCUAUUUGCUAAAGAGCCCCUGGAAAAUAAAAGAAAUAACCUGCAGUCCUUGUUCUACUGUUACCUGGGUCUGGUGAAGCUUCUGAGUUAGCCCCUGCACUUUCUGGGAUUUGGCGCGCAGUCCAGACUGAUUAUAAAACAGAGAAAAUCAUUUAGAAAUUGAUUUUUAGUACAAAAAUAAUUCGAGAAACUUGUAUAAAUCAUAUUUAAUUCAUUUUAACUCCUUUUUGACCCAUUCCAAUUCCUAUAAUUUUAUAAUAUUAUUGUUUAUCAAAUAGUGCCACUGUUUUGACAUGAAAGCCAUACCAAAAUUAAUAUCCUACUUAAUCUUUUAUCCAACACUUAAAACUUUAUAAAUUCAUAACUCCUCCGUUUUAACUCUGAUUUGAUCCGUUCAAGUUGCGUUAGUCUCGUAUAAAUAUUUACUAUGCAAUAACAACAUUUAUUGUGUCAUGUCUCAUUAUUUUCUAAUUAGAUCUUUAUUUAAUUUAGGUGGGUUAGUCUUGUUAAUCUACUUGUCAUUAUAAUCUACUAGAAGAUGAUCUAUGGUCAAUUCAUAACUUAGAUUAAAGUUGAGGUAAUUACUUAUAGAAUAACCUCUCAUAUGAUUUAUAUUAACCAAUUUAUAAUAUAGUUUAACAUUUUAAUCACAUAAAUGCCCCAUAAAAUCAUGACUCCAAUUUUGGUGGUUCUCGAUUCCGCGAUCUUGUAGCUUCACAUAGAUCAUUAUUAUCCAAUUUAUGCUUAUGUUUGGUGUGAUGUUAAUGUUGUCUAUACCAUGUUUGUUUGUAUUGCUACGACUAACGCGAGGUUUCAAGGAUCUGAAGAAUCACCCUGGUAACUGGAAUCUCAAGUGCCAAGCAGGUUGUGCCCUUGAUCACUUUUGUUUACCCAAUAAUGUUCUUUAUUAUCACUAUUCAAUGCAUAGGUUUAAUUUUGAUGGGGCCCAAUAGGUCGCCCUAGUCUGUUUAUCCUGUUUACCUUGUUUACCCCUGAAUCACAUGGGUAGUUUUUCCUAUUGCUUUACUUGGUUUUAGGUUAAUAUUUCAUUAUAUCCAUGUUCCAAUUAUUCUGUUAUUUUAUUUAUGUUCAUGUCAAGAUCAUCUUUAUUGUUAAUUGGAACAUGGAGCUUAACUUGAGAAACACGUGCCACCACAAGGGAGGAAUGGGACCCCUUGGCUAACUAAUUAGGGAAGCUAGUGGAAGACUACCUUACCCGAAAGGGGCAAGGGCAGUAGGGGAGUUGCAUGCAAGGAGGUUCUCGGGUUGAUUUUGCUGCGAUGGCGAUUAGACAGGGGAUUCUUGCAAGUGCUCUUCCCAUAAACUGUAGCUGGUUUUUGGAAGCUAGUGGAACUUUCUAAAGGCCUCGUAGUGGAUCCCUAGCCAUUCACCUACCUUGGUAGUAUCUAAGGGUCUAGCUAACCCUGGCGACAUGGGAAACACGACUUGUGGGUAAAGGGUACAACCUCCGGAGAGUGUAAAACUGGUAUACUAGCCGUGCUCGCGGUCAUGAGCAGCUCAGGACUCUCCGAUGAUUAAUUUAUGGAACUUAAAUUCAAUUUGUCAUAUGCAUUGCAUGGGAUCAUUUGUUAAUUUUGUUCUAUUAUUACUUAUUAUUGUUUGGCAUUUACUUACAUCUAGUAAUUGCUAAUAAAACUUUGACCAACUUUAAAAGCAAUGCUCAGCUUUAACCAUUCUCUUUGGU
rnacentral:lncRNA from 1 species